GAACCCAAGUGUGGAAGCGAGUUGGAUGCAGCAGCGGAUACUGGGGCGGUCUCUCACACUCAGAUGCUUCCCUUAAUGGAGAACAACACAACAGUGUGACUACAGCGCCACCUGUUGAUGGUUGUUGGGGGAAGGAGGAGAGCGCCAGUGAAUGCUCAGGGAUCUUUUAUAGCACUUUGUUGGAUAUUUUUAGGCUAAUAAGAUGGGAGUAGGCUUCAAUCACUCAACCACCAUCUGCCAGCACAAUCUUGAUCAUUUUCAUCUUCAAAGUAUGGACAUGAUAAAGAAAAAGCAGCAGAUACAUUCAUCGUAAUGAGAUGCAUAAACAAAAAAGGAAGGAGGACUAUGGCCUCAUGUAGAAGCGUGGUGGAGCAAACAAAGAGCAGGCUCAUGACCCGUCCUCCUACGCUCUCCCUUUCUCGAAAAUGAUGGAGAACAAUCGCACUGGAUGGAGGCACAGCUUGAAGGAUUGCUACGACGAAACCAUCUCGAUCCCCUGUAAGGCAUCAUAAAGGACCCAGGAAGAGCAUCUGGCGCUUUGAGACGCCAAAAAAAACGAUCUCCCCGCUUCAACCUGCCACUCUUCCCCCCCAUCGACCAUAAUACGGUUUUCACGUUUCAUUCUCCCCCAACGCUACGACAGACUGCGCAAUCACAAAGACCCAAUUAGCCGAGAUGGGAUCACGAUUUCGCCAGAGGACCGAAGGGCCAAUCAUAUCGUGCGGCGCAUGGCGAGGGCCUAUAGGGCAUAAGCACAGGUGGGUGGGACAUGGCUGUUGGGCGGAGGAGACACGGUGACAUGGAUUGAGAACAGCCCCGUUGUUUCUGGUCAUUUGUGUCACAGAAGUUUUGAUUGAUGACCGUCGGGAUGUUUUUCCCACUCUCCCUUGAGAUUCCCACCACUCCAGAGGGGGUUUCCACAUCGGGCCCUCAGCUUCGAAGCUCCUCUUUAAGUUCUUCAAGCCCUUAGUCCUGUGACACACAAAAACUACUUUUUGGUCCAUUCAGGAUCCCAGAUGGCUGCUGCCCACACAUCUGUAUUGUAAAGCACCAAAUUUAGCUUGUUUCUAUUUUUGGCUGAACCUACACUCAAACAAAUAAAGUAUCUCCGAGAGUCUCAGUGAUGGAGAGAUUGAAAAGGACAUGAAGAAAUAAAGUAAAGAACAUGGGAAGUAGCCAAAUGUAAAUGCGUGCGUGUGUGUGAGAGUGUAAAGAGAAAAGCCCGAGGGACGGUAGGUGUGUGGGCGGCUGAGAGAGACGAACAAAAGAAGCAGAGAAGAGA